GGUGACUCUGAAUAACUCAGCUGAUCGCACGGUCUACGUGCCGGCGACAUAUCUUUCAAGUGUCUACCUUAUCAACUGUCGAUGGUAGUUUAUGUGACUACCAUGGUUGUAACGGGUAACGGAGAAUCAGGGUUUGACUCCGGAGAGGGAGCCUGAGAAACGGCUACCACUUCC
rnacentral:rRNA from 1 species